GGGUGUGUCACUUCAAUAUAGCGUUAUAUGGACUGAUUGGCCGCUCGAAUUCGCACGAAUUUAUUAUUUACGCCAAGUUAUCAAUCAGCCUUAUUUUUUUUGUCUGUUCAAAGUCUGUAACAUCUAUGAAUCUGUCAUGUGUUGCAAUGCAGCUGGUUAAAUUCCAUGCGUUUUCUUUGAAAUAUUAAGGCUUUUCUACCUCAGGAAUA
rnacentral:lncRNA from 1 species